rnacentral:tRNA from 1 species
GCGGGCGUAGCUCAGUGGUAGAGUUCCAGCCUUCCAAGCUGGCUGUCGCGGG